rnacentral:rRNA from 1 species
CUGGCGGCGUGCUUAACACAUGCAAGUCGAACGAGAAUCUGUGGAAAGAGGAUUCGUCCAAUUGAAGCAGAGGACAGUGGCGGACGGGUGAGUAACGCGUGAGGAACCUGCCUUUCAGAGGGGGGACAACAGUUGGAAACGACUGCUAAUACCGCAUAACAUAUAGAUGUCGCAUGGCAUUUAUAUCAAAGAUUUAUCGCUGAAAGAUGGCCUCGCGUCUGAUUAGCUAGUUGGUGAGGUAACGGCCCCACCAAGGCGACGAUCAGUAGCCGGACUGAGAGGUUGAACGGCCACAUUGGGACUGAGAUACGGCCCAGACUCCUACGGGAGGCAGCAGUGGGGAAUAUUGGGCAAUGGGCGCAAGCCUGACCCAGCAACGCCGCGUGAAGGAAGAAGGCUUUCGGGUUGUAAACUUCUUUUGUCAGGGACGAGUAGAAGACGGUACCUGACGAAUAAGCCACGGCUAACUACGUG